rnacentral:lncRNA from 1 species
UACUGCGGGUACAAUUCGGCGGGAACAUUCGUCUCGGAGACGGCGGAGUAGUGGUGGGGGAAGUGGUUGCGCUGGUAGCAAAAGGGGCAGAUCCAGAUGAGGGCGGCGAAAUCGACGCGGGCGAAGGGAGAGAUAAUCGCGGAGCAGGUUUUGCAGUGGAGAGGAGAGUAGGGGAGAGAGAGAAUGGAGGGGUGGGGGUGGAGAGGAGAGAGAGAGGCGGCGAGAGGGAUGACGCAUUUAGAGAGUUCGACUUUGGUGCGGGGCCAGGUGUUCCAUGUCAUACGCACGCCGUCGAUGUUGGUUUGAUCGGACUCGGCCAACUCGGAGGCCAUGGAGGAAGAGGAGUCAAAGAGGGAGAGUAGAGUACUAGUAGUAGUUGUAGUCGUCACUGUUUGUGUUGUUUAUGUUAUGCUGCUCUGUAUUGGUGUUUAUGUCAUGGGAAUUGGGAGGUGCGAUGCGAAUUUGUGUGUGUUUGGUGUAUGGUUAGAUCUAGGACUAUGACGAGGUGCCGUCAACAAACCAAACUGUUUGCGAGUUACUCAAGCUAUUUGGAUGUUUUUUCGAGUCGAGCUUGAGCUUUAAAUUACUCGCCUCGCAAGGUUCGCGAGCCUUAUCGAUUCUAUACUAUUUUUUAUAUUUUUUUAUUACAAAAAUAUUUUUAUAAAAAUAUUUAAUAUUUUAUUUAUAAUUUAUAUGUUUAAUCGAAUUGAACUCGAGCCAAACCGAUCAUAUUCGAGUUUUUGUCAAUAUUUCGUGACUCGAUUCGAGUUUUCGAGUCGAACUCGAGUCUAUCGAACUGUUUACGAGCCGAGCUUCGAACUUGAAAUUAAACGCUCGGUCGAACUCGAGUUCGAGCCCCGAACAUUUUAAUUGAGCUCGAGCUUGGCAGUAUUCGACUCGGCUCGAUUACACCCCUAACCAGGAGGAAGGGACGGAGGGAUUUUUUUUAUGUUACUUUUUGGAUUCUCACAUUGACACGAAUAAUCCAUGUUUCGUUGAGCCUAAAUCAAUCGAGAUAUGUAUUCAAUCCCAUUUAUUUUUUUAUAUCUUUGUUCGGACCGAAUAUUUUUAAAUAAAAUUUAAUUCGAUCAGAUUCGUAAAAAUUAAUUUUUGUGUGGACCGAAUAGUCCAUACAAUAUAUAAUUGUUAGGUCCAUAUACGAUUGUAGAAGGGGGUUUGAAUACGAUCGAUACCAAAUAAUCGCGGAAGUGAAUCUGAUUGGAAUAUGACUUGUUAAUCAGAUUAUAAUUAAUUAAUAUAACAAUGUUUUAAGUCGUUAUAUAAUUAAUAUGGUUCAGUUUUAAUGUCCACUAAUGUUCGAAGAAUUAUUUCGACAGGGUAUAUUCUAGAUUAGUGAUUAAAACAACCGGGUUAUCAAAGUACAGAAAACUGUGGAUAUAACAAGCAAGUUACGAACAACUUAAAAGCUUUACAAAGUGAUUUGAUUUACAAAGUGAUGACCACUUAUAAAUGAAGAAUGAAUGCCAUAUUUAUACGCAAAGCAUUGAACUUGUAAGACAAAGCAAAGGAAAGACAAUUACAAGCUUGCAAAGACAAAUACAAGAGCGGCAAGACAAUAUAAGCUUGGGCAAGACAAAACAAGGCAAGGUAGGACAAUUUAGAUUGCCUACAAAGCCUUAUAACUCGCCAGAAAGACAAUUAAGUGAAGGGCAGGACAAUUUGAGGGAAGGCAGAACAAUUUGAAGGAAGGCAGGACAAUCUAUCCAAGGGCAAGACAAAUAGAGACAAGGUAGGACAAUUCUAGAUUGCCUACCAAAGUUCAACCACAAGGCAGCAAGACAAAAGAGAAGGGAAGGUAGGACAAUUUGUUUGUCUUGUCUUGUGAGAGGGAAGGUAGGACAAUUCGUUUGUCUUGUCUUGUGAGAGGGAAGGUAGGACAAUUCGUUUGUCUUGUCUUGUUUAUGUUAUGCUACUCUGUAUUGGUGUUUAUGUCAUGGGAAUUGGGAGGUGCGAUGCGAAUUUGUG